UACGGAGGGUGCGAGCGUUGUCCGGAAUCACUGGGCGUAAAGGGCGCGUAGGUGGCUUGGUAAGCGUGUGGUGAAAGCUCGGGGCUCAACCCCGAGUCGGCCAUGCGAACUGCCGAGCUUGAGCACUGUAGAGGCAGACGGAAUUCCGGGUGUAGCGGUGGAAUGCGUAGAGAUCCGGAAGAACACCAGUGGCGAAGGCGGUCUGCUGGGCAGUUGCUGACACUGAGGCGCGACAGCGUGGGGAGCAAACAGG
rnacentral:rRNA from 1 species